UACGUAGGGGGGCUAGCGUUGUCCGGAAUUAUUGGGCGUAAAGAGCUCGUAGGCGGUCUGUCGCGUCUGCUGUGAAAACUCGGGGGCUUAACCCCGAGCCUGCUUCUGAUACGGGCAGACUAGAGGUAUGCAGGGGAGAACGGAAUUCCUGGUGUAGCGGUGGAAUGCGCAGAUAUCAGGAGGAACAUCCGUGGCGAAGGCGGCUCUCUGGGACGGUACUGACGCUGAGACGCGAAAGCGUGGGGAGCGAACAGG
rnacentral:rRNA from 1 species